UACGAAGGUCCCAAGCGUUAUCCGGAUUCAUUGGGCUUAAAGGGAGCGUAGGUGGCCUUAUAAGUCAGUGGUGAAAUCUCUGGGCUUAACCCAGAAAUUGCCAUUGAUACUGUAGGGCUUGAGUAUAGAUGCCGUUGGCGGAAUAUGACAUGUAGUGGUGAAAUACAUAGAGAUGUCAUAGAACACCGAUUGCGAAGGCAGCUAACGAAACUAUAACUGACAGUGAGGCUCGAAAGUGUGGGGAUCAAACAGG
rnacentral:rRNA from 1 species